GCGCCCGUAGCUCAGUUGGAUAGAGCAACAGCCUUCUAAGCUGUGGGUCGGUGGUUCGAUUCCACCCGGGCGCG
rnacentral:tRNA from 1 species